rnacentral:rRNA from 1 species
GAUGAACGCUGGCGGCGUGCCUAAUACAUGCAAGUCGAGCGAACGGACGAGAAGCUUGCUUCUCUGAUGUUAGCGGCGGACGGGUGAGUAACACGUGGAUAACCUACCUAUAAGACUGGGAUAACUUCGGGAAACCGGAGCUAAUACCGGAUAAUAUUUUGAACCGCAUGGUUCAAAAGUGAAAGACGUUCUUGCUGUCACUUAUAGAUGGAUCCGCGCUGCAUUAGCUAGUUGGUAAGGUAACGGCUUACCAAGGCAACGAUGCAUAGCCGACCUGAGAGGGUGAUCGGCCACACUGGAACUGAGACACGGUCCAGACUCCUACGGGAGGCAGCAGUAGGGAAUCUUCCGCAAUGGGCGAAAGCCUGACGGAGCAACGCCGCGUGAGUGAUGAAGGUCUUCGGAUCGUAAAACUCUGUUAGUAGGGAAGAACAUAUGUGUAAGUAACUGUGCACAUCUUGACGGUACCUAAUCAGAAAGCCACGGCUAACUACGUG